GAGAGAGAGCCGGAGAGCAGCGAGGGCUACGGGCGAGCCACAUAUGCAGUAAACAAGAACCACGAAGAAUAAGUAAAACGUGUCCCAGCCAAUAGCAUCCAGAUUGAUCCUAAACUUAAUGAAGACUGAGCCAAGGCCAGCAGAACUUUUUCCAUCUAUAAACGUGACAUCAGACUGUGGUGGUGUCCCCAAGACCAGCCCAGGACGCAGCACACAGCUGCGCUCACAGCUAUGAUUUAUUACCGUGGAAGGAGGCAGCGCCAGAUCAGCCAAGGGAAAAGGUGCGGGGAGCAGAGGCCGGGGGAGACCAGGCCCAGGCUUUCGGGCUGCUAACUGACUCUCACGCAGGGUGUACUUCAUUCCUGCAGUAACCA
rnacentral:lncRNA from 1 species